ACUACGGGGGGCAGCAGUGAGGAAUAUUGGUCAAUGGACGCAAGUCUGAACCAGCCAUGCCGCGUGCAGGAUGACGGCUCUAUGAGUUGUAAACUGCUUUUGUACGAGGGUAAACCCCGAUACGUGUAUCGGGUUGAAAGUAUCGUACGAAUAAGGAUCGGCUAACUCCGUGCCAGCAGCCGCGGUAAUACGGAGGAUCCGAGCGUUAUCCGGAUUUAUUGGGUUUAAAGGGUGCGUAGGCGGUUUGAUAAGUUAGAGGUGAAAUGUCGGGGCUCAACCCCGAAACUGCCUCGAAGAAUGGUGGACUAAGGAAUAGGUGGGGUAGGCGGAAUGUAUGGUGUAGCGGGGAAA
rnacentral:rRNA from 1 species